AUUGAACGCUGGCGGCGUGCUUAACACAUGCAAGUCGAGCGGCAGCGCGGGAGCAAUCCUGGCGGCGAGCGGCGAACGGGUGAGUAAUGCUUCGGAAUCUGCCCUUCAGUGGGGAAUAACCAGUCGAAAGACUGGCUAAUACCGCAUACGAACUGAGGUUGAAAGCAGGGGAUCGCAAGACCUUGCGCUGAUGGAUGAGCCGAAGUCGGAUUAGCUUGUUGGUGGGGUAAUGGCCUACCAAGGCGACGAUCCGUAGCUGGUCUGAGAGGACGACCAGCCACACUGGGACUGAGACACGGCCCAGACUCCUACGGGAGGCAGCAGUGGGGAAUAUUGGACAAUGGGGGCAACCCUGAUCCAGCGACGCCGCGUGUGUGAAGAAGGCCUGCGGGUUGUAAAGCACUUUUAGUGGGGAGGAAGGUCUGCGACCUAACACGUCGUGGAAUUGACUUAACCCACAGAAAAAGCACCGGCUAACUCUGUG
rnacentral:rRNA from 2 species